rnacentral:rRNA from 1 species
GUGCCAGCAGCCGCGGUAAUACCGGCAGCCCGAGUGAUGGCCGAUAUUAUUGGGCCUAAAGCGUCCGUAGCUGGCCGCGCAAGUCCAUCGGGAAAUCCACCUGCUCAACAGGUGGGCGCCCGGUAGAAACUGCGUGGCUUGGGACCGGAAGGCGCGACGGGUACGUCCGGGGUAGGAGUGAAAUCCCGUAAUCCCGGACGGACCACCGAUGGCGAAAGCACUCUGAGAAGACGGCUUCGACAGUGAGGGACGAAAGCUAGGGUCUCAAACCGGAUUAGAAACCCCAGUAGUCC